AUUUCAAACAUUUCUGACAAAUCUCUUUUUUUCAUGAAAUAUUUCUGACAAUAGUCUUGUCAUUUUAACAAUAAUAUUGAUUGUUCGUUGGCUAUACAUAGCUGUAAACUCGCUGGAAUAAUGAUUAUUUCGAUGUAUUUUCAGCGACAAUUCUUGCGAGGUAUAUGCACAACGAGAGUUAAUCGAAUUAAUUCGCUUAACAAAUUAAAGAAACUACAGGCAGACUUUCAAGCUGAAGAUGGGAAACCGAUUUGGCUGAAAGGCGGCGCAAAGGAUCGCAUUCUUUCUUCGGCUACUUUUUUUUUGAGCUAUUUAGGCAUUCUAAUGACUUUAUUGACGAUUUACGAUAAUGGCAAGCCGUCGUCAUGGAAGAAAGGCGAUCAAACAUGUUAAUAAAUUAUAACUAGUAGGCUUAACAUGCGCGCCACGACAUAAUUGUCGACUAAUAGGUCCGAACCGGAAAUAUCGGUCUCUCUUUCAUUGCGAAGGGACGAAAUAGAUAGCUAUAUUUCCAGUUCGUUGACGACAUAAAUCAUGGCGCGAAUGUUAAGAUAAAAGAUCCUUAUCUUCGAACGCCACUACUUAUCACUUUUUUCAUGAAAAUUGACAACCAUUUUUUUUAAUUUUCCGCAUUAUUCAGAGCUAUUUUUAUGGUCAGGCUACAAAAAUGAGGGAAUUCUAAACAACUAAAAAUAAUGCUUUGUAAUCUAAAAGAAAGCAUUAAUUUUAAUAUUUGCAAUACUUGACUUUAAUCCUAUACAUAUUUUUGUAUUGAAAUAAAACUGAGAAC